rnacentral:tRNA from 1 species
GCCCUCGUAGCUCAGUGGAUAGAGCACUGGCCUCCGAAGCCAGGAGCGCAGGUUCGAUUCUUGCCGAGGGCA